UACAGAGGUGGCAAGCGUUGUUCGGAAUUACGUGGCGUAAAGAGCGCGUAGGCGGUCCGUUAAGUGUAGAGUGAAAGCUCCGGGCUCAACUCGGAAAUUGCUCUGCAUACUGGCGGACUCGAGGACGGAAGAGGUUUGUAGAAUUCCACGUGUAGCAGUGAAAUGCGUAGAGAUGUGGAGGAACACCGAUGGCGAAGGCGGCCCGCUGGGCAGGAAGGAAGCGCAAGCUUCCGGCUGACGCUGAGGCGCGACAGCGUGGGGAGCAAACAGG
rnacentral:rRNA from 1 species